rnacentral:rRNA from 1 species
UACGAAGGGGGCUAGCGUUGCUCGGAAUCACUGGGCGUAAAGGGUGCGUAGGCGGGUCUUUAAGUCAGGGGUGAAAUCCUGGAGCUCAACUCCAGAACUGCCUUUGAUACUGAGGAUCUUGAGUCCGGGAGAGGUGAGUGGAACUGCGAGUGUAGAGGUGAAAUUCGUAGAUAUUCGCAAGAACACCAGUGGCGAAGGCGGCUUCCUGGCCUGUUCUUGACGCUGAGGCGCGAAAGCUAGGGGAGCAAACGGG